rnacentral:rRNA from 1 species
GAUGAACGCUGGCGGCGUGCCUAAUACACGCAAGUCGAGCGAACGGACGAGAAGCUUGCUUCUCUGAUGUUAGCGGCGGACGGGUGAGUAACACGUGGAUAACCUACCUAUAAGACUGGGAUAACUUCGGGAAACCGGAGCUAAUACCGGAUGAUAUUUUGAACCGCAUGGUUCAAAAGUGAAAGACGGUCUUGCUGCCACUUAUAGAUGGAUCCGCGCUGCAUUAGCUAGUUGGUAAGGUAACGGCUUACCAAGGCAACGAUGCAUAGCCGACCUGAGAGGGUGAUCGGCCACACUGGAACUGAGACACGGUCCAGACUCCUACGGGAGGCAGCAGUAGGGAAUCUUCCGCAAUGGGCGAAAGCCUGACGGAGCAACGCCGCGUGAGUGAUGAAGGUCUUCGGAUCGUAAAACUCUGUUAUUAGGGAAGAACAUAUGUGUAAGUAACUGUGCACAUCUUGACGGUACCUAAUCAGAAAGCCACGGCUAACUACGUG